rnacentral:rRNA from 1 species
CCAAUGUGAACGUUACCAAACUGUUGCCUCGGCGGGAUCUCUGCCCCGGGUGCGUCGCAGCCCCGGACCAAGGCGCCCGCCGGAGGACCAACCAAAACUCUUAUUGUAUACCCCCUCGCGGGUUUUUUUAUAAUCUGAGCCUUCUCGGCGCCUCUCGUAGGCGUUUCGAAAAUGAAUCAAAACUUUCAACAACGGAUCUCUUGGUUCUGGCAUCGAUGAAGAACGCAGCGAAAUGCGAUAAGUAAUGUGAAUUGCAGAAUUCAGUGAAUCAUCGAAUCUUUGAACGCACAUUGCGCCCGCCAGUAUUCUGGCGGGCAUGCCUGUCCGAGCGUCAUUUCAACCCUCGAACCCCUCCGGGGGGUCGGCGUUGGGGAUCGGCCCUGCCUUGGCGGUGGCCGUCUCCGAAAUACAGUGGCGGUCUCGCCGCAGCCUCUCCUGCGCAGUAGUUUGCACACUCGCAUCGGGAGCGCGGCGCGUCCACAGCCGUUAAACACCCAACUUCUGAAAUGUUGACCUCGGAUCAGGUAGGAAUACCCGCUGAACUUAAGCAUAUCAAUAAGCGG